GCCUCUGAUGAUGAUCACCAAAUAACUUUCGUUCUUCCAAGGUUUAUUAUCUAUGCGGAAAUUAAUGGAGACCUGAACUGAAGAGGC